rnacentral:rRNA from 1 species
GUGGGGAAUAUUGCGCAAUGGGCGGAAGCCUGACGCAGCGACGCCGCGUGGGGGAUGACGGCCUUCGGGUUGUAAACCUCUUUCAGUAGGGACGAAGCGGAAGUGACGGUACCUACAGAAGAAGCACCGGCCAACUACGUGCCAGCAGCCGCGGUAAUACGUAGGGUGCGAGCGUUGUCCGGAAUUAUUGGGCGUAAAGGGCACGCAGGCGGCGCGUCUGGCCCGGCGUGAAAGCCCCCGGCUCAACCGGGGAGGGUCGUCGGGGACCGGCGCGCUUGAGGGCAGCAGGGGGUGGUGGAAUGCCCGGUGUAGUGGUGAAAUGCGUAGAGAUCGGGCGGAACACCCGUGGCGAAGGCGGCCACCUGGGCUGCACCUGACGCUGAGGUGCGAAGGCGUGGGGAGCGAACGGGAUUAGAUACCCGUGUAGUCC